CCCGGGCGGGGCGGUGCCGGCCGCGGCCGUGCCGGGCUGGGCGGGUCCCGCUCCGCUCUUCCCCCUGCGCCGUGAGACCACACAAGAUGGCGGCAGCUCAGGGCCGCCGGGUCCGGGCGGGGCGGAGGCUCGCGGCCGGUGCCUGCGGCGGGAGCUGUUGCCGGGCCCGGCUCGCUGCGCGGCCUCCUCGGCACAGCGCAGGGAGCUAGACCGUGACCCACAUUUCUUCCCAUGCACUACUAAACGAGGAGCUGCAGGAGCGGCAGGAGAGGCAGCGUGUGUACUGCUUGCAGCGCUGAAAUGACACCGGGACACUUGGGCACGGACGGAGGACAGCGGGUGGUGCGCUGAAGGGCUGAACCAGGAUCACUGCUGCUGAAACCCGUACGCAGGCAGCAUCAAGAGAGAAUAUUUGUCACACCGACACUGAACCAAGACUAAGCUUCAGCCCUUUAUAUGGAACUGCUGAAAGAGGAAGAUGCAGUACUGAAAGCAGUCAGUUUUGACUGCAUGAGUCCAUGCCUCUCACAGAAGGCAAAUGAUGUCUUACUUCAAAAAUUUCAUGAAAUGCAAACUCGGUGGUUCACUUUUCUUAGAGCUGUUAUACAUGAAUAAUUGGGGAGAGGGAAAGUUACGGUUCUUACUCACAUCAAAUUAAAACUUAUAAUUUGAUUUACUCUGAAGACUGCAGAAGUAAAAAAAGAAAAAAAAGAGCCAAAAUGUUCUUUUAGUAUACAGUGAUUUUUUCCUCUUACUAGCAGGAAUAGCUUUUUAGAUCAACGGUGAACUAAAACUUAAUGAGUACAGAAAAGGACUUACAGAACAACAUUUUUUCACAGCUAGAAAAGGAUAGCCUCUGAAAAUGUGAAGUUGCCAAUAAAAAGGAAUGCAACAGCAAAGUACAUAAUAGAGCAAUACCUGUAUAUUAUUGCAAGAGCAAUAAUACAUGUCUGUCACUAAAUCAGUAGACAACUAACUGCUUACAAAGGCAAACAGUAAACUAAUUUUAGUUAUGCUGCUCCAGGCAUUGAGUGCGGAUAACUGUACCUUCACCUCUGUCUGCAGAAGUAAGGUGUGCUUCAGGUUGUAAACUAGGGUGCAUUUCAGGAUUUAAAUAAUAGAUUGGACCUUUUGCUUUAUAGUGUAUGCAUCUAGAUUAAGACAAAUGGCUGGUAACUUGUUCUGGUUUUACUCCACAGUGCCUGCAAGAUCUGGUAGGAUGGUGAGAAUACCAUGUUUCCUUGGACAAGUAUCAGAACUUAAACUUGAACAAAGUGGGAUUAAAUUUUACUCAUUUUAGAAGAGCACUCCUAUUCAACAUACGGACAAGACAGUAUGAAGAAGCACGCUGCUUAAAUUGACAAUGAUUUAUUGUGUUUAGGAACAUUCAAUAAAUACCAGUCUUUUAGCUUAGUUUGGGAAUCCUUCCCCAUCGAAAAUCA